CCUACGGGAGGCAGCAGUGGGGAAUCUUGGACAAUGGGCGCAAGCCUGAUCCAGCCAUGCCGCGUGAGUGAAGAAGGUCUUCGGAUUGUAAAGCUCUUUUGCCAGGGACGAUAAUGACGGUACCUGGAGAAUAAGCCCCGGCAAACUUCGUGCCAGCAGCCGCGGUAAUACGAAGGGGGCUAGCGUUGUUCGGAAUUACUGGGCGUAAAGCGCACGUAGGCGGGUCGUUAAGUCAGGGGUGAAAUCCCGGAGCUCAACUCCGGAACUGCCUUUGAUACUGGCGAUCUUGAGAUCGGAAGAGGUGAGUGGAAUUCCCAGUGUAGAGGUGAAAUUCGUAGAUAUUGGGAAGAACACCAGUGGCGAAGGCGGCUCACUGGUCCGAUACUGACGCUGAGGUGCGAAAGCGUGGGGAGCAAACAGGAUUAGAUACCCUUGUAGUC
rnacentral:rRNA from 1 species